AUUGAACGCUGGCGGCAGGCCUAACACAUGCAAGUCGAGCGGAUCGGCGGACGGGUAAGUAAUGCCUAGGAAUCUGCCUGGUAGUGGGGGAUAACGUCCGGAACCGGGCGCUAAUACCGCUUACUAUCAGAUGCGCCUAGGUCGGAUUAGCUAGUUGGUGGGGUAAAGGCCUACCAAGGCGAAGAUCCUUAACUGGUCUGAGAGGAUGAUCAGUCACACCGGAACUGAGACAAGGUCCAGACUCCUACGGGAGGCAGCAGUGGGGAAGAUUGGACAAUGGGCGAAAGCCUGAUCCAGCCAUGCCGCGGGUGUGAAGAAGGUCUUCGGAUUGUAAAGCACUUUAAGUUGGGAGGCGUUACCAACAGAAUAAGCACCGGCUAACUUCGUGCCAGCAGCCGCGGUAAUAC
rnacentral:rRNA from 1 species